UGGUCUGCCUCAGGGGCUGAAAUCCUCUUUUUAUGCACCGAGUGGGAACAGCACAGGGAGUGACAAGCUGGUUUUCUUCAAACCACUCCCACCAACUGGCUCAAGCCAAAAAAUGGGCCCACACCUUUCGGCAAAGAGAAUUGGGCAGCCUCUGCCGCCCGUUUAACCCUUGCUGUC
ensembl:misc_RNA